GACGAACGCUGGCGGCGUGCUUAACACAUGCAAGUCGAGCGGUAAGGCCCUUUCGGGGGUACGACGAGCGGCGAACGGGUGAGUAACACGUGGGUGACCUGCCCUCAGCUCUGGGAUAAGCCUGGGAAACUGGGUCUAAUACCGGAUAUGACUCCAUGACGCAUGUUGUGGGGUGGAAAGCCUUGUGCGGCUGAGGAUGGGCCCGCGGCCUAUCAGCUUGUUGGUGGGGGAUGGCCUACCAAGGCGACGACGGUAGCCGGCCUGAGAGGGCGACCGGCCACACUGGGACUGAGACACGGCCCAGACUCCUACGGGAGGCAGCAGUGGGGAAUCUUGCGCAAUGGGCGAAAGCCUGACGCAGCGACGCCGCGUGA
rnacentral:rRNA from 1 species